rnacentral:rRNA from 1 species
GACGAACGCUGGCGGCGUGCCUAAUACAUGCAAGUCGAACGAAGCAGUUUUAACUGGUGCUUGCACCUUUCAAGCGAGUGGCGAACGGGUGAGUAACACGUGGAUAACCUGCCUCAAGGCUGGGGAUAACAUUUGGAAACAGAUGCUAAUACCGAAUAAAACUUAGUAUCGCAUGAUACAAAGUUAAAAGGCGCUACGGCGUCACCUAGAGAUGGAUCCGCGGUGCAUUAGUUAGUUGGUGGGGUAAAGGCUUACCAAGACGAUGAUGCAUAGCCGAGUUGAGAGACUGAUCGGCCACAUUGGGACUGAGACACGGCCCAAACUCCUACGGGAGGCUGCAGUAGGGAAUCUUCCACAAUGGGCGCAAGCCUGAUGGAGCAACGCCGCGUGUGAUGAAGGCUUUCGGGUCGUAAAGCACUGUUGUAUGGGAAGAAAUGCUAAAAUAGGGAAUGAUUUUAGUUUGACGGUACCAUACCAGAAAGGGACGGCUAAAUACGUGCCAGCAGCCGCGGUAA